rnacentral:rRNA from 1 species
AAUGGCCUAACGGCUGAACCAGCAACUUGGGUGAACGUAAAAGCAUUUUGUUUAUUGAAAAAUAAACGAGAUGUAUUUUUUUUUUGGCUUCAGCCAAACUAUUUUUAGUAUAAUAUAUACUAGAAAUAGUAAGAUCCUAUAAGAUCUUUUUUGAAAGCUUCGGCUCUAAGCGAUUUAUUCGCAUAAAGUUCUAUAUAGAAUACAGAUGAUGACUAUUUUCUAUAUAUAAGUCUUGACCAAAACACGUGCCAGCAGUCGCGGCAACACGGGAAAAGGCGAGUGUUAUUCAUCUUUAAUAGGUUUAAAGGGUACCUAGACAGCAAAUUUAGCCCCCAUUGAAUUGGAUCGGUACAUUUUUGCUAGAGUUUUAUGUGAGAGGAAUUUAGUACUAACAGAGUAGAGAUGAAAUUUUUUGAUACUGUAGGGCACUGAUAACAGCGAAGGCAGACCUUUAUGUAAAAACUGACGUUGAGGGACGAAGGCUUGGGUAACAAACAGGAUUAGGUACCCUAAUAGUCCAUGCAGACAAUGAUGAGUGCCAUAGAUUAGGAUAUCUUUGAUCUAUAAAUGAAAGUGUAAGCAUUCCACCUUAAGAGUAAUGCGGCAACGCAGGAACUGAAAUCAUUAGACCGUUUCUGAUACCAGUAGUGAAGUAUGUUGUUCAAUUCGAUGAUCCACGAAAAAUCUUACCACAAUUUGAAUAUUUUAACCACCAAAGGAAAGUCUUUUUUAUUAAAAAGAUGAAAGUGUUAAUUAUACAGGCGUUGCAUGGCUGUCUUCAGUUGAUGUCGUGAGAUGCAGGUUAGCUCCAUUAAAUCAACGUGAACCCAUACCUUAUUUUAACUGGUUAACCAGUUUACAUAGGGUAGUUCCCCGGCAUAUCGGACAGAUAACAGGGACAAAGACAAGUCCUCAUGGCCCGAACAUUGUGGGCUAUAGACGUGCCACAUAUACCUUGACAAAGGGAAGCUAAAAUGCGAAUAAUAAGCUAAUCUCUAAAAAUAGGUUAAAACAA